UACAUGUGGGGCAAGCGUUGUUCGGAUUUACUGGGCGUAAAGGGCGCGUAGGCGGUCGUGACAAGUCACUUGUGAAAUCUCCGGGCUUAACUCGGAACGGUCAAGUGAUACUGUCGGACUAGAGUACAGAAGGGGCAACUGGAAUUCUCGGUGUAGCGGUGAAAUGCGUAGAUAUCGAGAGGAACACCUGCGGCGAAGGCGGGUUGCUGGGCUGAUACUGACGCUGAGGCGCGAAAGCCAGGGGAGCGAACGGG
rnacentral:rRNA from 1 species